rnacentral:rRNA from 1 species
AAGCGCAAAAAAUCGGCUAUUGUGCUUAAACUUGAUUUCAAAAAAGCGUUCGACUCGGUCUCUUGGACCGCUCUAGCAGCUAUCAUGCUUGCCAAGGGUUUCCCCGAGAUUUGGUGCAAUUGGGUUGAUAGCCUGAACCGUUCCAGUCAGUCGGCUGUUGUUCUGAAUGGCAAGCCUGGCCCUUGGAUCAACUGCAAACAGGGGCUGCGACAGGGCGACUCGCUUUCUCCGUAUCUUUUUAUUAUUGUUGCUGAUGUCCUUCAACGUCUGAUC